AGACCCGAAACCCGGUGAUCUAGCCAUGGGCAGGUUGAAGGUUGGGUAACACUAACUGGAGGACCGAACCGACUAAUGUUGAAAAAUUAGCGGAUGACCUGUGGCUGGGGGUGAAAGGCCAAUCAAACCGGGAGAUAGCUGGUUCUCCCCGAAAGCUAUUUAGGUAGCGCCUCGUGAAUUCAUCUCCGGGGGUAGAGCACUGUUUCGGCUAGGGGGCCAUCCCGGCUUACCAACCCGAUGCAAACUGCGAAUACCGGAGAAUGUUAUCACGGGAGACACACGGCGGGUGCUAACGUCCGUCGUGAAGAGGGAAACAACCCAGACCGCCAGCUAAGGUCCCAAAGUCAUGGUUAAGUGGGAAACGAUGUGGGAAGGCCCAGACAGCCAGGAUGUUGGCUUAGAAGCAGCCAUCAUUUAAAGAAAGCGUAAUAGCUCACUGGUCGAGUCGGCCUGCGCGGAAGAUGUAACGGGGCUAAACCAUGCACCGAAGCUGCGGCAGCGACACUCAGGUGUUGUUGGGUAGGGGAGCGUUCUGUAAGCCUGCGAAGGUGGCCUGUGAGGGUUGCUGGAGGUAUCAGAAGUGCGAAUGCUGACAUAAGUAACGAUAAAGCGGGUGAAAAGCCCGCUCGCCGGAAGACCAAGGGUUCCUGUCCAACGUUAAUCGGGGCAGGGUGAGUCGACCCCUAAGGCGAGGCCGAAAGGCGUAGUCGAUGGGAAACGGGUUAAUAUUCCCGUACUUGGUGUUACUGCGAAGGGGGGACGGAGAAGGCUAUGUUGGCCGGGCGACGGUUGUCCCGGUUUAAGCGUGUAGGUGUGUGUUCCAGGUAAAUCCGGUUCACUUUAACACUGAGGCGUGAUGACGAGGCACUACGGUGCUGAAGCAACAAAUGCCCUGCUUCCAGGAAAAGCCUCUAAGCAUCAGGUAACAUCAAAUCGUACCCCAAACCGACACAGGUGGUCAGGUAGAGAAUACCAAGGCGCUUGAGAGAACUCGGGUGAAGGAACUAGGCAAAAUGGUGCCGUAACUUCGGGAGAAGGCACGCUGACAUGUAGGUGAAGUGAUUUACUCAUGGAGCUGAAGUCAGUCGA
rnacentral:rRNA from 1 species